rnacentral:rRNA from 1 species
UACGGGGGGGGCAAGCGUUGUUCGGAAUUACUGGGCGUAAAGGGUUCGUAGGUGGCUUGCUAAGUCAGACGUGAAAUCCCUCGGCUUAACCGGGGAACUGCAUCUGAUACUGGAUGGCUUGAGUUCGGGAGAGGGAUGCGGAAUUCCAGGUGUAGCGGUGAAAUGCGUAGAUAUCUGGAGGAACACCGGUGGCGAAGGCGGCAUCCUGGACCGACACUGACGCUGAGGAGCGAAAGCUAGGGGAGCAAACAGG